AGAGUUUGAUCCUGGCUCAGGAUGAACGCUAGCGACAGGCUUAACACAUGCAAGUCGAGGGGCAGCAUGAGGUAGCAAUACCUUGAUGGCGACCGGCGCACGGGUGAGUAACGCGUAUGCAACCUGCCCGAUACCGGGGUAUAGCCCAUGGAAACGUGGAUUAACACCCCAUAGUACUUUUAUCCUGCCUGGGAUGUGAGUUAAAUGUUCAAGGUAUCGGAUGGGCAUGCGUCCUAUUAGUUAGUUGGCGGGGUAACAGCCCACCAAGACGAUGAUAGGUAGGGGUUCUGAGAGGAAGGUCCCCCACAUUGGAACUGAGACACGGUCCAAACUCCUACGGGAGGCAGCAGUGAGGAAUAUUGGUCAAUGGACGAGAGUCUGAACCAGCCAAGUCGCGUGAGGGAAGACUGCCCUAUGGGUUGUAAACCUCUUUUAUAAGGGAAGAAUAAGUUCUACGUGUAGAAUGAUGCCUGUACCUUAUGAAUAAGCAUCGGCUAACUCCGUGCCAGCAGCCGCGGUAAUACGGAGGAUGCGAGCGUUAUCCGGAUUUAUUGGGUUUAAAGGGUGCGUAGGCGGUUUAUUAAGUUAGUGGUUAAAUAUUUGAGCUAAACUCAAUUGUGCCAUUAAUACUGGUAAACUGGAGUACAGACGAGGUAGGCGGAAUAAGUUAAGUAGCGGUGAAAUGCAUAGAUAUAACUUAGAACUCCGAUAGCGAAGGCAGCUUACCAGACUGUAACUGACGCUGAUGCACGAGAGCGUGGGUAGCGAACAGGAUUAGAUACCCUGGUAGUCCACGCCGUAAACGAUGCUCACUGGUUCUGUGCGAUAUAUUGUACGGGAUUAAGCGAAAGUAUUAAGUGAGCCACCUGGGGAGUACGUCGGCAACGAUGAAACUCAAAGGAAUUGACGGGGGCCCGCACAAGCGGAGGAACAUGUG
rnacentral:rRNA from 1 species